GCGAUACUGGAUCCUGUCAAGUUCUAAAUCGGGAGGAUUUUUAUAGUGGAACAACUAAAAGGAAUUGCUGCCUUAUGAUAUAUAACUACUACUUAUUAUAGAUUGAUCCAUCUUGCAGCAGGGAGGUGGAAGGCAGGGAGCUAUAGGGAGAAUGAGGAGCGAUCUGAGACCUGAGCAAAAGUAACCUUCUAAUUGCCUUUUCCAUGACAGCAUCAUAAGCUUCUUUAUGGCAGCUUUAUUUCACAGUGACCUGACACACUGCUGUAAUUUUCCCAGUGUCACUCAUGCAGGUUUAAAAAUGAUUGGUUUUAUGGCUUUUAUUUGGGAAUUUGUCAAGGUUUCACAUUUGUGGAAGCCUUGAAGCAGUGGCCUAAUAGUUCAUAAUUUGGUGUUUAAAGGGAGACUGGUGGGUGACCCGCUCGGGCCUGCAGGUGCCUGCACUGAUCACAUCCUUGAGCCUGGCAGGGAAAUCUCCCUAAUUCCUUUUCCGCCACAGUAAACCUUGGCUGCCAGAAAGGUCCACUCCAGGUUCCAGGAGACUCCUGGCAUCCCGAGAUGGGAGCAGAAGCCCUCUGAGUUUCCUGACCAGCUCUUUUCCUCCACAUCCCGGUGUGAAGUCCAGAAGUCUUCACCACAGAGAUCACUUCAGGGACAGAAAACGCAGUUCUCAUCCAGAUCCAACGCUUACUACUCCACAACGUUGGGCAAGGUACAUUACCUCUCUACACCGCAUUUUUCUCAUCUGGAGUGUAUUGAUGUUGGACUUGAUCCCUUCCAGCUGUAGCAAUAAAUGAUUUUUACUUCUUAAAUUUCCUUUCACUAGCCCAUUCACUCACUCUGUCAGUGGAUGUGACAUUUAUGCUUCAAGAAGAAAGAAAAAUAGUAUCAUCUGCUAACAAAUAGUGUUCAAACACAAGCUCAGGUAAGAAUGAUGCCCCAGAUCCAGUGUGGUCUGAAAGAGGGAAUUGCUGGGCAGAUGAGGCUGGCUUGCUCCACUCCUGCUUUGCACAUCAGUCAAAGCAGGGGAGCUUUCUAACUGAGCUCAGUUGAUGGAGAUUCCUGCUAAUGGGACCCCGUGAGUACCAAUGCAGUUCCUGAUCCAUGCAGCCAAGCUCCUCUGUCUCAUGGCCUUGCCCUGGCAACCAUUUUUAAAAAUGUGUUGUGACUCAUCAAAGACCAUUAUUAUGAACAAACAACAUUUUCACCUACUUGACAUGCACUAGCAUUAUGUUUUUAAUGGGGUUUGCAAUGCUUUUGAUUUUCUGACUCAUUUUGAGUAUUGGUAUUAUAACUCAUGCAUUUUGAUAUUUCCUUUUGAUCUAAAAAAAAAAUCCUGGUCUCUCAAAUUAUAAUGUUUUUUACAUCUUAGAUGCAAUUUCAGGGUGGAGCAGGGAAGGGAAGGUUCCCCUCUUACUUUAGAUAAACAUCAAGUUAUGGGGCCCAGUUGUGGUAAAGCGCAUUAAAGUGCAUCAUUCCAUAUUGAAGCAUCCGUUCAAGUCCUAACUGCUCCGUUUCUGAUCCAGCUUCUUGCUAAUCUUCCUGGAAAAGUAGUAGAAGGUGGCUCAAACACUUGGAUGUCUGUUACCCAUAUGGGAGACCAGGAUAGAGUUUCAGGCUCCUGGCUUUGGCCUUGCUGAGUGCCAGCCAUUGGAACCAUUUGGGAAGUGAACUUGAGAAUGGAAGAUCUCUCUUUCUCCGUCUCUUCCUCUAUCACUCUGACUUCCAAAUAAACAAAAAACAAAUCUUUAAAAAAAAAUAUAU
rnacentral:lncRNA from 1 species